ACAGUACUCAAGGUAAAAGGCUGAGAAUAGCAGCAAUAACAAUUCUUCACAUUUUUCAGAUGCCAGGUACAGAGAUCCUGUUUUCACCUUUGAAGACCAAAGAUACUUUUACCAGUAAAAUGACAAAAUCAACUUCAGGAAGCCAGGGAUGAUUCUGGGCCACAGUUCGAAAAGGAACACAGUGCAUCACCAUGGAGACAUGACUGACAGCCAAAUUGGAAGCGGUGUCCAUGUUUCCUGGAAUUCUGGAAGCAACAUUCAGUGAACCAUUUCCUCCAGUGAGGAUCCACAUCCUAAAAGGUCUACAGCC